AUUGCAGACGGAGCAACUAUUACAGCAACCGGCAACUAGCUGUUUACAAUGCUGUAUGUGUAUCUCAAUGGAACUGCGCACACGGAGCAACUCGAGUUGCGAAUUCCGGUGAUCGACAACAGUUUUCAGUUGCUGCAAUUGAUGACUAAGUUAGUUUCUAAUUGCCGCAACUAGCAACUGUCGAAUUUGUAUCGAUUUUGUAAAAUUGCUGGUCGGCACAUUGCA